GAUUCUUACAGCUUAUUAAUUUUUUCACUAUGUUGUUGAAUAAUCUUUUGGAUAUCUUUAACUGCUUUAUCCGUGUAUUCCUUGGUGUUUUCUGUAGAUUGCCUUAUUUCAUUUGUGAGGUCAUUCCUGAUGUCUUGAAGAAUUCUGUAUAUAAUUUUUUUAUAUUCUACAUUUGGCAAUUCUAGGAAUGUAUCUACAUCUGGGAAUGAUUUUGAUUCUUUGAUUUGGGGGUUUGUAGAAGCAAUCAUGGUCUGCUUCUUCAUGUGAUUUGAUGUCGACUGCUGUCUCUGAGCCAUCUAUAAGAUAUUGUAAUAUUUUCUUUUAUAUUUGCUCACUGAGUCUUAUCUUCUUAUUUUGUUUUGUUACAAGACACCCAGAUGGGCUACUAGAUUGUGGUAUCGUGAUUGAUGUAGCUUUUGAAUCACUUACGUCCUAUUACCAGCUUGCCUGAGCUGUUACCAGGUAUAUAAGUGUAUGAGUCCAUUCACUAUUCUUGAAUAGAAUCAGCUCAGGUGUCCUGAUAGCUGGUCACCUAGUGUGUGGUGUAGGCUCUCACGUAUUAUCUUAGAGGAGUAGUGGUGAUGGUUGUAUGCACCAGUUUCUAUUAGUGGCAUGGGGUCACAUUUCGAGGAGGGCAGGAUGCUGACAGCCUUCCUUCAAGUGACAGUGAGGUAGGUGUGGCUCUAUUCUCUAGAGCACUCUGGUGGGUGGGCUUUGCAGCUGUAUCUUAGGCACCCAAUGCUUGGGUAGGCGUCACUAUUCUCAGACCCCUCUAGCAGGUGGCUAGGUGAUGUGGGUGGAGUCUCAGCCCUCAGUUCACUGGUGUGGAUCAGCGAGGGCUCUGUUUAAUAGGUAGAGAGGUAUCUGACCUCCAAAACUUGCCUUUCCACUGCUGAGCUAAAACAAUUAUGGUCAGAUCUCUAUCAGAAUUGCCUUUACAUUGUAAUAGCCACCUAGUUACCUGUAGGGUGAAAGCCAAAGACUAUGGGUCUGUUAAUGCCUGGAUGGAGCUGAUUCUGUACUGUUAUUUCAGUUUAGGGAAGUCAGGGAAGGAUUUUUUCUUUGAUUGUUAAAUGCUGCUUUUCUCAGGCCAGGAGAAUGGGUUAGAAAAGAAAGAAGAAAAAAAAUCCAGCAGUGCACUUCACUCUCUGGCACAGAGAAUUCCAAUGUUAAUGAAGCUGGCUGGGGCAAUGAGGGGUGGAAUCAGAUAUAUAGAAGAGAGUAGCCUGGCAAAAUAUACAAAGUUACUUAUGUUGUUUGGUGAGGACUGUUUUUUCUGAGAUUCCAGAGCAUUGUGUCGCUCGUGUGUGGUGGCUGGAUCCCUGCUGAGACUGUCCCAGAGGGUUAGGGCUGCGUCCAUGCUCACACCGUCUCAGGAAGCCACAAUCGGCUCCCCCACACUUAGUCCAAAGCCCAGCACCAGGGUUUCCUUUCUGGGACGCUGCACUCCAGGCUCCAGAACCAGUCGCUGCUUCCCUAUAGUUUUUCGUUUCCCUGUCAGCCACGUCUGUGUGGAGCCUGUGUGUGCUGCCUGGGUCCCCUCUGAGGUUGGUCCUGAGGGUUGGGCCUAUAUCUGUUCUUCCGUGUCUCAGUAAGCCACAAUCAGCCCCACCACUCUGACACCAGGAAACCACGAGGGCUCAAGGCUGUGGCGUGGGACACUGGCUCUGGAAGUGGUCCCUGCUGCAGUGUGGCUUUUCGCUCCCCCGUCACUCAGGUCAACUCCUUAGUUCUGUGUUUGAUGGUCAGGGUUUGUAGAUUGUCCUUUAUGUAAUCAGUUCACUUGUUUUUUCGAGUCUUUGUUUCAAGAGGGAUAAGCGGAAUCUUCUACCUAGUCAGCCAUCUUGGUCCUGCCCCCGUGUCUGCCUCUUUAUGUGAUUUGAUAUUGACUGUUGUCUCUGAGCCAUCUAUAAGUUAUUGUAUUAGUUUAUUUUAUGCUUGCUUUUUGUAUCCUAGCUUCUUGCUUUGUUUAGUUUUGGUAUACCCAAAUAAGCUGCUUGAGUGCACUAGGUUGAUUAUUUUCACCUUUGAAGCUCUAAUGUACUAUCACCAGAUGGCUAGCACUGUUACCAGGCAUAUGAGCCUAGGAGUUCAUUUAUUUUUCUUGUAUGGAUUCAACUCAGGUGCCCAGGUAGUUGGUCAUAAAGUGUGUGGUACGGGCUCUGUCCUACAGUCUUAAAGGGGCAGGGGUCAUUGGUGUAGGCAGAAGUAUCUGGCUGCAGUAGGGGGUCAGGCUCUGAUCAAGGCAGGGGUCUGACAGCUGUGCUCUGAGUGUCUGUGAGGAAAGUGCAUCCCUGUUCUGUAGAGCACAUGGGUGGGUUCUGCAGAAGGGCAGUGGGUACCCAAUGCUUUUGGUUGUAAGUUCUGGGCGGUACUACUUAUCCUUGGAGCCCUAUCACAGGUGGCUAGGUAUUGUGGGUGGAGCCAGCAGUCCUUAUGCCCCUGAUGUGGGUAGGUGAAGACCCUGUUUAAUAGGCAAAGCAGUGUCAAACAUCAAAUACCCAUCUUUCCACCGUUCAGGUGAAACAGUUGCAGUCUGGCAACAAGGGCCUAUUCUCCUGAAAUGGGCCCACACAGGUCCAUGCUGGGGUGAAAGGUAUUCAAAGCCCAUGGACUGUUUGUGCCUGAACAAGAGCUGCUUCUGUCCUGAGCUCCCCAGCUUAAUUGAGCUGGCAGAUUAUCUUUCCCCCAGUUGUGAACUUAUACCUUCUUCAAGGAUGGAAAAAUGGCUCAGAGUGGUACCAGGGCCUAUCUCAGGCCCAGGGAAGUUGACAGCCACUGAAGCCGGCUUGGGGGCUGGGGGCGUGGUAAAAUAAACACAAGUAAUUAGCUUUUGCUGAGAGUGCCGUUCUUCUCUUGUUCUGGAGGUGUGAGUAGUCUAUGCAACUUGCUGUCCUUCCCUGAGCUAAACGCCUGUGGAACGCCACUGCCAGCCCCACUGCAGUCGCUCCAGGGAACGGUGCCUGAGGGUUCCUGGCUAUUCAGGUCCAGUAACUCCUCUCCACUUCUGAAUAGUCUCUCCCUCCCCCUGCCGCUGAGUCCAUUUUCUAACUUUACCUUUGAUGUUCAGGGCUCCUAGCUUGUCAUAAAUAUAAUCGCUUCACUUGUUUUUUCUGGUCUUUUUUGUAAGAGGGAUCACUGGUGGCGUCUCAAUACUCAAAACUUCAUCAUUUCUUCCUUUCACUUUAGCUACUCGACAUUCAAGAGCAACGUUCAGAGUCUCUUCCGACAUCCGUUUUGGUCUUUUCUUUCUUUCCUGUCUUUUAAAGGAUCUCUUGCUUUCUUCAUGUGUGAUGUCCUUGAUGUCAUUCCACAACUCGUCUGGUCUUCAGUCGUUAGUGUUCAACACGUAAAAUGUGUUCUUGAGGUGGUCUCUAAAUACAGGUGAGAUAUACUCAAGGUCAUAUUUUGGCCCCUUUUGACUUAUUCUAAUUUUCUUCAGUUUCAACUUGAACUCCCAUAUGAGCAAUUGACAGUCUGUUUCACAAUUGAUCCCUGGCCUUGUUCUGACUGAUGAUAUGAGUUUUCCCAUCUUCUCUUUCCACAGAUGUAGUCAGUUUGAUUCCUGUGUAUUCCAUCUGGUAAAGUCCACGUGUAUAGCUGCCGUUUAUGUUGGUGAAAAAAAAUAUUUGCAGUGGAUGAGUCACUGGUCUUGCAGAAUUCUUUCAUGAGAUUUCUGGUGUCAUUUAUUUCAUCGAUGCUGUAUUUUCCAACUACUUUUCCUUCUUUGUUUCCAACUUUAACAUUCUAAUGACCAGUAAUUAUCAAUGCAUCUUGAUUGCAUGUUUGAUCAAUUUCAGGCUGCAGAAGUUGUUUAAAAUCUUCAAUUUCUUUAUCUUUGGCAUUAGUGGUUGGUGCAUAAAUUUGAAUAGUCGUAUAAACUAGUCUUCCUUGUAAGUGUAUGGAUUUUAGCCUAUUAGUGACAACAUUGUACUUCAGGCUAGAUCUUGAAAUGUUCUCUUUGAUGAUAUGUAACGUCAUUCUUUUGACUCUAGUGGAAUAUCCAUGUUUGUAAGACUGCUCACAGACUGUUUCACCAGAGAGUUUUCUGGUACUGCAACAUCUACCACUAAUCUCUGUGAUCCCUGUGAAUUGGCAAAAUAAGAAUAGUGCUAUAGAUUUCUUCCAAAUACAGAAAACAUAAGUAUGAAAAUGUUCUUGCUGUUGAUUAUAUUCUUUACCAAUCUGUUUGUGUGGGAUUUUUGGUACUUCACUUGAAAAAUGAGUCCAAGGUACUGUGAUGUGAUUGUUUACUUUGUGUGGCCUUUCUAGCCAUGGUCUUAUAACAUCCACCCUGGUGCUUGGGCAGGACUGUGUGAUAGGGUAAUUGUGGCUCACCAAGGGGAUUGUUUAUUUUCCCUUCAAAGAGAACCAGUUCCAGAGCAAAGAGGAGGAUUCAACUCCCAUCAAGGAAGAACAGCCAAGAGCCGAGCGUAUAUUAUGGACCUGAGAUCCCUGCACUGAGAAGCUCCUAGAAGCAAGAGACUGAGAUAGAGAGAGGAAGCUGUAACCCUGAAGAUGCUUAAAUACAGACCAGAAGAGGAGUUUGGGGCUUGACACCUGACAUCUUAACACCAGUUCCUGUUUCUUGAGGAAGGAAGAGGUAAAAUAAAUCAGCGUUUACUGUUUCCUUCUCCAUCCCCGGAAGUCCUGAUGAAGACCCUCUCAGAGAACCAGUUCCAGAGCAAAGAGGAGGAUUCAACUCCCAUCAAGGAAGAACAGCCAAGAGCCGAGCGUAUAUUAUGGACCUGAGAUCCCUGCACUGAGAAGCUCCUAGAAGCAGGAGACUGAGAUAGAGAGAGGAAGCUGUAACCCUGAAGAUGCUUAAAUACAGACCAGAAGAGGAGUUUGGGGCUUGACACCUGACAUCUUAACACCAGUUCCUGUUUCUUGAGGAAGGAAGAGGUAAAAUAAAUCAGCGUUUACUGUUUCCUUCUCCAUCCCCGGAAGUCCUGAUGAAGACCCUCUCAGGAGGGAAGAGGUAAAAAAGAAGGCAGUGUCUACUAUGUCCUUUGCCAUGUGUGUCAGGAAAUCCUCAUGAAGAGCCUCUCAGCUUCAACUUGAACGUGAAUAUGAGCAACUGAUCAUCUGUUCUGCAGUCAGCCCCUGGCCUGCUUCUGACUCAUGAUAUUGACCUUCUCCAUCAUCACCUUCCACAAAUUUGAUUCCUGUCUAUUCUGCCUGGAAUGGUUCAUGAGUAUAGUCACCGUUUAUGUUCCUGAUGAAAGAACUCAUGGGAACAUCCUCAGGCCAGCCUGCUAGAUGAUGGAAGACCAAUGGAGGGAGGAUCCAGCGGUUUCACUGACUUGAUGUUAUGAACUGGCUCCCAGCUACCUGGAAGCAAAUUGUAGACACAUGAGGAAGCCGUGUUGUGAGCCACUGAGGCUGGCCCAGUUCAGAAGAGCUCCAAACUGACAACUUGAAAAAUUGUGAGCUGGUAAAUUGUUGCUCUUUUAAGACACGACAAUUUGGGGUCAUUUGUUACACAGCAAUACAUGACUGAUACAACUGUUAACUUGGCUGUUUCUCUCAUCGGGCAUUGAGGGAAAUUCUCUGAGUCAUUUCAUCACCAAGAGCAACUGCCAUAGGGUCUCACAUAUAGCUGUUAUAGUGUAAAUAUUUGCUGACUUCGUGGAUGAAUGAAUAAUAUGAAUUGUAAGUGAAUCAGCACAAAUUCAUGUGUGCAAGAAAACUUGAUAUUUCUUUAAAUAAACUGAAUUCCAACUCAGAGCUCUCGGCUUACAAAAUUGGGGUAAAAUUUUAACCUUACUUCUUUGCAGGGGUAUAUUUGGUGUUGGUUUAUUUUCUAGGUACCCCGGGGUCUAAAGAAGGACCAAGGUUUGGAGAUCUUUAACACACCCAUCGCCUCAGCCUAUGUGGGUGAUCUCUCUAGAAGCAUUGUCUCUGCUGCUUCCAUUCCCAGAUGGAGCAUGAGAACCUUGGCAGGGCUGGGAACACCAUAACGUGGUUUGUCUACUUGUGUGCCUGCAUUACCCUUUGAGGUGCUGCCACCUAGCCCAGGGCAUUAUCAAGAAGCAGGCCUCACCCCUUCCCAAUGUGUAGGUCUCUGCUGUCUGACUCCCACUCUUCCCUUGGUUUCCAGUUCACUCAGUGUGAUUACUGCAAUGAGCUGAGACUCUUCCAACAGACUCUUCAGAGUCUCGAAGUUUCAGGGCUUUAACUCUGUGAGUCCAGUUACCUCUUGAAAUGAGGUAGGGAAGGUUGAAAAACGUAGGAAGAUUUUAUUUUGAAUUUAAUGUUUCAAUAAAAUUUCUUGCCAUGCAUUUUCAAAUGGUUCUGCCUAACAAUUCCCUCUGUUCUCUUACAAGAUGCAGGACAAUGAAGAGGGAAUGUUUGUUGUGUCAUAAUCUCCAGAAGGAUGCAAAGUGCCAUGGGGUCCAUUCCCCCCGAUGCUCACACUUGAGCACCACAGCCACGUGGAAUCUCUGCAAGUGUUACUGAGUCCCUCACACAUCCACAGUGAACAACUUUCAGAUUCUCAUAAGCAGGAAUUAUUUGUGUCCUAAGACGAGGAACUCCUUGGAGACCCUACUGUGUCCUACAGGGUCGCUGUGAGUCAGAAUCGACUGCAUGGCAUCGGGUUUUGUUUUUGUUUUUUGGGGGGUGGUUGAUGUCAGCUGCAGGAUAGUGUUUAAAAAAAUGUCGACAGCGUAGCAGGUAAAACCAACCAAAUGAAACUGAAAUGAAAUGUCUUUUUUCACACUUACUGACCUCACAGUUCCUUCAAAGUGUUUACUUUCCACUGGGUUCAGAGGCAAGAGGGAACUCUUUGUGAGAGAGACACAGCUUGGGACACCUCCAAAAUUAUACGCCUCCCUCCUGAUGUUAGGUAACAUUACAUACUGUUUGGCUGGUUUAUCAUCUGAGUGCUCCACAAAAAUAGAAGGCCCAUGCAGGCAGGACCUUGUCUACUGUGUUGGUCAGAGUAUCCUAGUUCCUGGCACCUAAGAAGCUUCCAAAUAUGAUAUGUCUGAUUGAAUGAGUGGGUGAGUUUUUAUAAAAACCAUGGAAGUGCUGUUUAUGUAGUUACAAUAGUGAAAACAGGCAUAAGGAAAUGGAGACUAGUUAUGUAUGAUUAGAAAUGGAGACUAGUUAUGUAUAAUGAGAACAGAACUUGUUCAUGAAGAGAUAAAAAAAUAAGAUGUAUUAAUAGAAUGUACCCCCUUCACUUUGGCUGAAGAGAGAUAGGGUAAAAUGGGUUCUUUUCGCGUACUGAUUUAUGGGUUGUAUAUAUUUCAUUGAAAUGUUAGUCUUUCGGGAAUCACAAAUAUUUCUAUUGAGAUAUAAUUCACCGGCCAUAACAUUGCCUUUUAUAAUGUGCACAAUUGUGUGGUUGCUAGUAUAUGGACAGAGUUGUGCAACAAUCACCACUGUCUAGCUUCAGGAUAUUUUCAGUACCCUGUAAAUAAACGCCCUACAUAUUAGUAGUCAUCUCAUUACUCCUUUCCUCCAUGACAUAGCAACUGCUAAUCUACUUUCUGUCUGUGUUGGUUUGUCUGUUCUCGAUAUUUCAUGUAAAUGGAAUCAUGUACCACGCAGUCAUUUCUGUUUGGCUUCUUUCACUUAGCAUAACGUUCUCAAGGUUUGUCCAUAUAGUGCCAUGUAUUAGUACCUGAUGCCUUUUAAUGGCUGAGUAAUAUUCCAUUUUACGAGUAUACCACAGUUUAUCAAUUCAUUACUUUGGGAUUCUCUCCACAUUUUGGCUAUUUAUAAAUAAUUCUACUAUGAAAAUUCUUUUGUAAGUUAUUAUGUGAACGUGCUUCAGUUGUCCUGGAUGCAUACCUAGGAGUGGGAUUGCUAUGUUGCAUGCUAACUCUAUGUUUACCUUUCUGAGCAAGUACCUAACUGUUUUCCAAAGCGAUUGGAUCAUGUUUCAUGUCCACCAGCAAUGUAUGAGGGUUCCAGUUUCUCCACAUCCUCACCACUUGUGUUGUCCAUCCUGUUGAUUUGAGCCAUCUCAGUGGUUUUGAAAUAAUAGUGCGUUUUGGUUUUGAUUCUCAUUUCCCUAAUGACUAAUGAGGUUGAGCUUCUUAUCAUGUGAUUAUUGACCGUUUCUAUAUCUUCUUUGGAGAAAUGUCUAUUCAAAUCCUUAGCCUACGAAUUUUUUUUCAGAUUUUUGCCUGUAUUUUUGCUUUCUUCAUAUAGUUUUUCAUAUGCCAAACAUCUAUAUCUGUAUCUUACCAGUUUUAGCCUUCACAGCUUUGGGAUUUUUAGAUAAUCUUUCUCUUUUACCAACAAAAAGCAAAACAAAAUCUCUCAUAGUUUCUUCUGAAAUUUGUAUGUUGACGUAUUUUACUUUUAAAUAUGCGAUCCUUUUGGAAUUUCAUUUCCUGUAAGCUAUGAGAAAAAGGAUGAAAAUAUUUUUACAGGUGAUCUAAAUGAUUACCAAAUUGCUGCAAGCACUCCUUUUUGCCUUUUUGCAUAAGCCAUAUCUUAACUGCAUUUUCCCAUAUUCCAUGUAGAAAAGCAUUUUUACAGAAGGAGGCCCGCCAUUCCCAGCCAUUUCAUUUUAAGGUUUUGCUUUGCUACAAUAGAAAUCCCUUCUAUACCUCCUCUACACACCUGUUCUCAUAGCCAAUAAAAAUUUUGUGUGAGUAGGACUCCUGUGAAUUUAUAAGAUGAGGUUGAAUUUUAUAACUGGUUCCAUGUGGUGCACCCAGCAGAAGGACAGACAGAAGCAGUAGCUCCAGAGGGAACAGAAGCUAUAAGAACAUGAGCCUCUACAGAUUUGCUGCCGCAUUUCACAGAAAGCUCUAGACUUUUCUUUAUAAGCUUAUCAUUAUAUAUGGCCAUCACCUUAGAACAGACGAGAAUAGUGCUUUUUAAGUGAGGCAUUCAGGACAGAACUGGAGAAAAAUAUAGAACAAAAUCCUAAUUCAAAAAAAAAAAAAAACCCCAGAAUUCUAGGUUGACAGAGACUGGAGAAACCCUGAGAAUAUGACCCCCAGACAUCCUUUUAGCUCAAUAAAGAAGUCACUCCUGAGGUUCACCCUUAACCAAAGAUUAGACAGGCCCAUAAAACAACAUGAGACUCCAGGGGCAUACCAGCCCAGGAACAAGGACUAGAAGGCAGGAGAGGACAGGAAAGCUGGUAAUAGGGGACCCAAGGUCAAGAAGAGAGAGUGUUGACAUGUCUUAGAGUUGGUAACCAAUGUCAUAAAACAAUAUAUGUCCUAACUGUUUAAUGAGAAGCUACUUUGCUCUGUAAACCUUCAUCUAAAGAACAAUUAAAAACAAAAGUUAGGCAUUCAGAAGGAGGGUGUUCAUUCCUUAGCAGAUGGUUAGACUUAUGUGUUUUGGUGAACAUAUGUACCCAUUUCUAUCGGGUAUGUAUCUAGAAGUAGAAUUGCUGGGUCAUAGGAUAUACGGAUGUUCACAGCUUUAGUAGAUAUGGCCAAAGCAUUUUUAAAGUGGUUGUACCAAAUUGCACUUUCACUAGCAGUAGAUUAGAAUUCCAGUUGCUCCAUGUUCUACCAAAUAGUUGGUAUUUCCAUUUUUUUUUUUUAUUUUAGCCAUUUCUGGUGUGCAGGGUUAGGAUCACAUUGUGAGCUUUUAUUAGAAUUCCUCUGAUAACUGAUGUAGUCCCUUUCCAUAUGUAUGUUGGCCAUACAGAAAUCUUUUAGAGAGCGUUCAAGUAUUUACUUGUCUUUCUAUUGAAUUCUUUUUUUUCUUUAUGAAUCAUGCUUUGCAUAUUUUAGAACCAAGUUUGUAGUAGGAUGUAUGUAUUGCAAAUAACUUCUCUUCCACAUGAAUUCACCCUUGUAGCUUGUCAUGAACUUUCAAAUUAAAAAGCAUGCCUUUUACAAAAACAGGCAAAUGUAUAGAGACGAAAGUUUAUAGGGGUUCCCAGGGACAGGAGGGAGGGAAUAAAGGGGUGUUAUUGCAUGUUUUUUUUUAUUGCAUAUGGAAACUGAGUUUCUGUUUACAAUUAUGGAAAAAUCACACUGAUUAAGGGUAGGGUUGCACAGCCUAUUAAUGUAAUUCCUGUCAAUAGUGUGUACACCUUUAUAACUCGUUCACUUGGCAAAGGUUGUGUGUUAUAUUUACAUCAACAACAAAAAUGUGUAGCUGCUGAGGCAAAAUGAUAGUACUGAAUUGAUGAGAUGUUUUCUUUUUUUAUUCUUUUAUUAUACUCUUUUCUAUUUUCUCAUUUGUUUUUGUAAGAAGUUACUGUUAAAAUCAAAGAUAAUAAAACGUUUGCAUGAUGAAAGUGGAUAGCAAUGUCUGUUCCACCCAUUGUGUCCCUCUGAAGUUUAAGUGAGGAACUACAUGCCACUAGCAGUCGCCCAGCCUUACUUAGCACUCAGGAAAUGUUCAUUUCUCCCACUCCUCUGGCUCACGGUCUUCUCCCCGUCUUUAUUUGCUCUUUUCUGUUUCCAACUGGUUGCAUGUGACCACCAGGCUUCCUGACUCCAUCAUUCUGCUUUCCAUACCAAUGUUAUUGUAACCUUGGGAUCUUGGGCAGUGGUGAAAGUUACACACUGUCCCUGCCAUUAGGAAGGGGACAAGCCAGUGCAGGUGGGAGGGGCAGUGGGAAAUUCAGCCUAGAGAAAGGACAGACAACCUUCCAGGAACCACACUGACCUUCAGAGAGCUUUGUUGGCUGUGGUUCACCUGGCCAGCUUGUAGGUGUCAGGGUGCCCUAGGGCUCGGUGUUUAGUCCUCUCUCUCUAUUGACACCCUCUGUCUGGAAUGCCUCAGUGUGUCCACAGCCAUUGGUCUGUAGCUGAGGACGUGAGAUUUACACCUCCAGCCAUUUCAACUCCUCCUGGGUCCAGACUUAUACUCAAAUAUCAGCUUAAAUCUCUGUAUCGGCCUCUUCAUGUAUAAAAUGUGCAUUAUAAUGGUACAUUCCUCACAGGGCUAUCAAGCAGAACAAAUAUCUUAGGAAAGGAGAAGCCCUUACAAGAAUCCUGGCACCAGUGCAUGUAGUCAGUAAGUGUUAGCUGUCAGUACUAUUACCUGAUAUUUCCAUGUGGGUAUCUAACAGCUAUGCGAUGUUAUCAAGGCCACGAAACAAUUCUGGUCUCAACUCCAUUCCCCACACUUAUCAAUGGAUUUCCCAAGGCUUCAGUGAUGGGAGUCUGUGUGUUUUUCCACACAAUGGACAUGGGUACAAAAGGUUGGUCAGGGUCUUCAUAAUAAGUUGCUCCAAAGUUCAUAUGAGUGACCAUUGAGACAAGUUACAAACAACUAAUGCAGAAAAAAAAAUAGAACCACUCUCAACUGCUCAUGCUAGUAUUCUCAGUCCAGAGUAUCUGGUGAGGGCACUAUUAUGGACUGAAUUGUGUAACCCCAAAAGGUAUGUUGAAAUCCUAACCACUGUACCAGUAAAUGUGACCUGAUUUGGAUAUAGGGGAUUUUAAAAUUAUAUUGACGAGGCCAUACCAGUGUAGGGUGGGUCCUAAACCUAGUCCCUUCUGAGUUAUACAAAGAGCAGAAUAGACACAGACACACUCAGUGGCAGAGGAAGACAGACAACGGAGCAGAUGCAUCUACAAGACCAGGAACACAAAGGGUGGCUGGAAGCUUUUAGAAGCUGAAGUAGACGUGAGCUGUGCCCUGAAUUCAGACAGGUAGCCUCCUGAACUGUGAGAAAAUAAAUUUCUGUUGUUUAAAGCCACCCAACUGUCAUUUUUUUUUUUCUUACGGCAGCACUAGGUAACUAACACACAUACCUGUGCUUAUAAAUCCAGCCCAGUGUAAAAUAGUGCUCUCCCCUCCUUGGUCUAGCCCACCUGGAUCCUGCUGUUUCCCUGUCAGUGCCCUCUGCUUUCACUGAGAGCUAUGACAGAGUUGCCUUGAUGCUGCUGCAUAGACGUUCACUUUAUUUUUUACUUUGUAUUUAUAUAAAAAAAAAAUUUAUGAUUUACUAAUAUUAAUUCUAAUAUUUUCUAUGGUUCUUAAAUUUUUCUGUGGAGACAUUCCUAUAAUCUAUGAAUAAUAAGAGUUAUAUGUUUUUCUUUUUGUACUCCAGUGUUAAAUAUUUAAUAGAAAUAAUGAGAGAAAGCAUCCUUAUUUUAUUUCUAAUUAAUUUUAAAGAGAAUGUCCCACAUUUCACCAGGAAUUAUCAUGCGAGUUGUAGUUUUCCACAUUCGGGAACUCCUUUUCUGUUCCAUGUUUGCUCAGAGUUCUUAUGUCUCAGUGUGGUUGGAUUUUAUCACUGCUUUUUCACCGUCUCUUGAGGUGAACCUAUGUCUUUUCUUCUUUAACCUACACAUGUGGUGAAUUAAAUUAUUAAAUCUUUAACGUUCACUCAAGCUUGUAUGCUGACAAUAACCCCCCUUGAUGCUCGCAUAUUACGUGCUUUAUACUUUGCUGGAUUUCUUUGCCAGCAUUUUAUGUAGGUUUUUGCAUCUCAGUUGCUUAGUGUGCUUGUCCUGUAACUCUUCUUAUACCUUCCUUUUCUAAUUUGGUAUCAAUAUUAAAGUAGCCUUAGGGAACAAGUUGGGGAGCAUCUCAUAGCUUUCUCUUCUUUAUUGACUGUGUACAAGGUUGAAAUGAUCUGUUUUUUGCAUGUUUGCUGGAACCUGCCUAAAAGUGAUCUACCAAACCCAAAACCAGUUGGCCAUCGAGUUGAUUCCAUCUUUGUAGGGAGAUCUCGAACUACUGACCCAUUUUGUGUAGUGAUUAAAGGCCUCUUCUGAUGCUACUUUCCUUAGAAAAAUUUCCACUGCAUGUUUUAGGCUGUUAGGAUUUCAUCUUUAAAUAAUGUGGUUAUCACUGUUUUCCACCUGAUCCAGGUCAAUUAAUCCCAGAUUUUCCAUUUUCCUGAAGUGAGAGUGUGUAUCCACUCCUGGUACCAAUUCCCUUAUCUAAGACUUAUUUGCAAAGAAAGAUACAACCCAGCCUCCUUGAGUCCAUAAUGUGAGGUUACAGUCUCAUAUUAUGUGAUUUUCUUGUAGUUGUUUUUUUGUUUUGUUAUUUUUUCUUUUACGUAUUCUGUAAUUGUUCUUUUUCUUAAAUUUUUUUUAUUUUCCUUUUUUUUUCUUUUUUCAUUUCACACCUCUCUAGCAGUUUUAAGAAACCUGGUGGAGUAGUGGUUAAAAGCUACAGCUGCUAACUAAAAGGUUGGCAGUUCAAGUCCACCGGGCGCUCCUUGGAAACCCUAUAGGGCAGUUCUACUCUGCCGUUUAUGGUUCCUAUGAGUUGGAAUGGAUUAGAUGACAACAAGUUAUUGGUUCUAGUGGUUUUAAGGUUGUGCAUUUCAGGUUCAGGUGUAUAAUCUAGCUGAGAACCGACUUCGGGUUCAGUGUGGUGAGGUGCCCAGUUGCACCUGUGCAUCAAGAGAAGGCGCCUCAAGAGCUAGGGGAGGGGGCAGCAGGGAUGCUCAGAGAGGGGCAUCCGGGAGAGGUGCAGGGUCCUGGGCAGCCCUACCACAAGCUGGCGGGGAGCAGGAAAGAGCUGGCUUCAGGAGCCUUUUGUGACAGUCCCAGCCCACCCAGCCCCACCUGGACCUCAGACUCAGCAGGCUGGCAGGUCCCAAUAGAAUUAGGGGAAGCCUAAGGCCAUAGAGGGCGAGAUCCAGGGUAUAUACCUAAGCCUUAUCAUAGUGCUUAUGAUGGGAUAGGAGGGCAGAGGAGGCAUAUGGGGACUUGGGUCCAGACAGUGGACACAGAAGGGUGGGAACUUCUGGUUAGCGUCAGGAUCCGAAUGUGGAGGCCUUCGAGAUGCACUUCCCGGAGGAGAAGGUGAAGCCACAGAAGCCACACUGCCUGGCACCCACCUCUGUCCCCCUCCCAGGGCCCCAGACUGGACUCACCGCCUGUGCUGCCCUAGGAGAGCUCCCCCAGUGUGGUACUCUUAGUUUGAGGAGCAAGAGAGCCAGCCCUGGUCUAGGCUAGGGAAUUUAUUUCCUCUGCUCUCAUUAUGGCUGUGAGCGGACUCUUGUCUGCACAGACUAAAGACGAAUUAUCAAAAUGAGCUCAAGACUCCAGAUUUGACUUAGAUAUCAUAAAUUAAAACAGAGAAAUACAACUUUAGCAAUAAGUGCCUGCCUGGAGCCCAAGCUGCAUUAAAACAAAAAAACCUGAACAAGACCCCAGAGAGAGUGAGUGAUAAGAGGCUCCUUCUUUUGCCACCCUGUGGUCCCAAGCUUUCUCUUUUCCCACCUCCCAAGACUGUAUCAACUGCUCUGAGAUUUUUGAAUAAAGACCCCAGGAAUAUCACUGCUCCCACCCCAUGAGGAUUUCCCCAGUGCUGAGUUAGACUAAGACAGAAUCCUCCUGAGGCUUCCGGGGCCUGUGUACUGGUUCAGAGCCAGUUCAUUUUUCCUGCAAUUGGGCAUGACCCCAGGACAUGACCCUGAGAGUGCUGACACUUGCAGAAGCCAAUGACCCUUUCACUGAGUUUCUCUCUGUCUUGGUGUCAGGAUCAGUCAGGACAGCUUGUCACCUCAGGACUGUUUCUGUUGAAGGACACCUAAGCAGCACUAUGGGUUUGUCCUUCACACCCUGCAAACCUGCCUCCUCUGAGUGGGGCGAGGAGCUACUGAAACACUGAAAUCAUUGAAACUAGCAGAAGCCACAGCCCAUGGUACUGGGAGAAAAAUGGGAGGGAGAGAGAGGUGAAAAGGUAUAAAGGCCCAGCUGUGAAGGUGACCAGCGGCCAGGAUGUCCUGAAGCCGCAAAGCUGACCGAAGCUGAAUGGCCUCAAACCUGCUGCUCCUGAGCCCAUCUUUUCUUUCAAUGGAAAAAGCCUUUCGCUGCUCUUAUGCGACUGGGCUGGAAGGGCCUUUGACUUAUAACAUGAAGCAGCCUCCAGAGCCUCUUGGGGCAAGUGAUGGUCAAGGAGGCUCUGCCCAAUCCCAUCCUGCCCUUCCCACUUGUCAGAGGACCAGGAAUUUCAGUCUUCCAGCUCCUGGGCUGAUCUAGUGACUUGUAACAGGAUUUCACUGGACCUCGAAACUUUGAAAGAUGGGAAAUACUGCCUGGGUCCUCGUCUCAUUACAGAACUUACAUACAGGAUAAGAAGAGGAGUUGGGAAUUGACACCUGACAUCUUAGCAAAGGUUUCUGUUUGUUAAGGAGGGAAGAGGUAAAAAAGAAGGCAGUGUCUACUACAUCCUUUGCCAUGUGUGUCAGGAAAUCCUCACAAAGAGCCUCUCAGGUAAGGAGUGAUGGGAAAUGCCUUGGUUUACUCUUAAACUUUGCCCUUGAGGCAUUUUCUUUAUGGGGGCAUGUAAAAUGUUGUCCAUUCAAGGAAACACUCUAAUUCUUAUGUAGACUUUGUUUGUUGACAAGGAUUUAUUGCCAUAGCAAGGGUUCUGGAAAUGGGUUUAAUAUGCUGUGGGAUUGCUUUUGGAAGUUUGGAAAAGGCAGCGGCCCACAUUCUAUGAAAUUGAAAUACCAGACCUACUGUGUCAGGUUUUGGAAGAGGGAAUAAAAGCCUCCAAUAUGUGGGCAUGUCUGAGUUAGUCUUCUAUAAGACCAUUUCUUGGAGGUCCUGAAGGACACCCAUUUCAUUAAAAGAAUAAGGAAUGCGGAGAUGAGGGGAGCACCAGGAAAUUGGAGCUUACCAAUAUGUAUCCUUUGCAGGGGGUCCCUGGACGCCGCAAACAGUUAAGUGUUCUAUACUAGCUGAAAGUUUGGUGGUUUGAACCUACUCAAAGGCACCUCAGAAGACAGUCCUGACGAUCUGCUUUUAAAGGAUCACAGCCUUGAAAACCCUAUUGAACACUUCUACUAUGCCCACAUGGGGUUGUCAUGAGUCAGAAAUGACCUGAUGACAGCUAACAAGAACAAUUCUCUGUAGGCUCAGGUUUUAGUGGAGGCUGGGCAGCCUAGUAGCAAUGUAAAUCAUGGUAUCCCAGCUGAACAGAGGCCAGGUGGAAGUACUUAACUGUCACAAACAAGUUGUGUGUAGAUUACCAUAAAGGUCAGUAGCUCAGAGUAUUAGUUAUCUAUUGGUGCAUAACAAAAUAUCCCCAAACUUAUCAGGUGUGAGAUAAAUGGAAAAAUAUUAAACCCAUUCUGAUAAAUUUGGAAGUAGACAAAAAUUUUGGUAUUACUCAACAUAG